rnacentral:rRNA from 1 species
AUACGGAGGAUCCGAGCGUUAUCCGGAUUUAUUGGGUUUAAAGGGUGCGCAGGCGGCCAUUUAAGUCAGCGGUUAAAUCGUGGGGCUCAACCCCAUUCUGCCGUUGAUACUGGGUGGCUUGAUUGCGGUCGAGGUUGGCGGAAUUCGUUGUGUAGCGGUGAAAUGCAUAGAUAUGACGAAGAACACCGAUUGCGUAGGCAGCUGACCAGACCGCAAAUGACGCUCAUGCACGAAAGUGCGGGGAUCGAACAGGAUUAGAUACCCUGGUAGUCCGCACAGUAAACGAUGAAUACUUGUUU